AGUGAACGCUGGCGGUAGGCCUAACACAUGCAAGUCGAACGGCAGCACAGUAAGAGCUUGCUCUUACGGGUGGCGAGUGGCGGACGGGUGAGGAAUACAUCGGAAUCUACUUUUUCGUGGGGGAUAACGUAGGGAAACUUACGCUAAUACCGCAUACGACCUACGGGUGAAAGCAGGGGAUCUUCGGACCUUGCGCGAUUGAAUGAGCCGAUGUCGGAUUAGCUAGUUGGCGGGGUAAAGGCCCACCAAGGCGACGAUCCGUAGCUGGUCUGAGAGGAUGAUCAGCCACACUGGAACUGAGACACGGUCCAGACUCCUACGGGAGGCAGCAGUGGGGAAUAUUGGACAAUGGGCGCAAGCCUGAUCCAGCCAUACCGCGUGGGUGAAGAAGGCCUUCGGGUUGUAAAGACCUUUUGUUGGGAAAGAAAAGCAGCAGGUUAAUACCACGCUGUUCUGACGGUACCCAAAGAAUAAGCACCGGCUAACUUCGUG
rnacentral:rRNA from 1 species